rnacentral:rRNA from 1 species
UACGGAGGGUGCAAGCGUUGUCCGGAUUUAUUGGGUUUAAAGGGUGCGUAGGUGGCCCAUUAAGUCAGUGGUGAAAUGCUGCAGCUUAACUGUAGCACUGCCAUUGAUACUGGUGGGCUUGAGUAUCGUAGAGGUAGGCGGAAUUUAUGAUGUAGCGGUGAAAUGCAUAGAUAUCAUAAAGAACUCCGAUAGCGAAGGCAGCUUACUAAGCGAUAACUGACACUGAUGCACGAAAGCGUGGGGAGCGAACAGG